rnacentral:rRNA from 1 species
GACGAACGCUGGCGGCGUGCCUAAUACAUGCAAGUAGAACGCUUAAGGAGGAGCUUGCUUCUCCGUAUGAGUUGCGAACGGGUGAGUAACGCGUAGGUAACCUGCCUGGUAGCGGGGGAUAACUAUUGGAAACGAUAGCUAAUACCGCAUAACAGUAGAUGUUGCAUGACAUUUGCUUAAAAGGUGCAUUUGCAUCACUACCAGAUGGACCUGCGUUGUAUUAGCUAGUUGGUGAGGUAACGGCUCACCAAGGCGACGAUACAUAGCCGACCUGAGAGGGUGAUCGGCCAAACUGGGACUGAGACACGGCCCAGACUCCUACGGGAAGCAGCAGUAGGGAAUCUUCGGCAAUGGACGGAAGUCUGACCGAGCAAAGCCGCGUGAGUGAAGAAGGUUUUCGGAUCGUAAAGCUCUGUUGUAAGAGAAGAACGAGUGGGAGAGUGGAAAGUUCACACUGUGACGGUAUCAUACCAGAAAGGGACGGCUAACUACGUG